AUACGUAGGUGGCAAGCGUUGUCCGGAUUUAUUGGGCGUAAAGCGAGCGCAGGCGGUUUCUUAAGUCUGAUGUGAAAGCCCGCGGCUCAACUGCGGGACUGCAUUGGACACUGGUCAUCUGGAGUGCAGGAGGGGUAAGCGGAAUUCCUAGUGUAGCGGUGAAAUGCGUAGAUAUUAGGAGGAACACCGGUGGCGAAGGCGGCUUACUGGACUGUAACUGACGUUGAGGCUCGAAAGCGUGGGGAGCAAACAGGAUUAGAUACCCUGGUAGUCCACGCAGUAAACGAUGAUGGCUAACCGCUGGUUUAUUCGGAUCAGUGGCCAAGCGAAAGCGAUAAGCCAUCCACCUGGGGAGUACGACCGCAAGGUUGAAACUCAAAGGAAUUGACGGGG
rnacentral:rRNA from 1 species